rnacentral:rRNA from 1 species
GUGGGGAAUAUUGGGCAAUGGAGGGAACUCUGACCCAGCAACGCCGCGUGAAUGAAGAAGGUCUUCGGAUUGUAAAGUUCUGUGAAGAGGGACGAAGAAAUGACGGUACCUCUAAAGCAAGCCACGGCAAACUACGUGCCAGCAGCCGCGGUAAUACGUAGGUGGCAAGCGUUGUCCGGAAUGACUGGGCGUAAAGGGAGCGUAGGCGGUUUGUCAAGUUAGAAGUGAAAUCCCGGGGCUUAACCUCGGAGCUGCUUUUAAGACUGACGGGCUUGAGUGAUGGAGAGGUAAGUGGAAUUCCUAGUGUAGCGGUGGAAUGCGUAGAUAUUAGGAGGAACACCAGUGGCGAAGGCGACUUACUGGACAUUAACUGACGCUGAGGCUCGAAAGCGUGGGGAGCAAACAGGA